rnacentral:rRNA from 1 species
UACGUAGGGGCUAGCGUUAUCCGGAUUUACUGGGCGUAAAGGGAGCGUAGGCGGACUUUUAAGUGAGAUGUGAAAUACCCGGGCUCAACUUGGGUGCUGCAUUUCAAACUGGAAGUCUAGAGUGCAGGAGAGGAGAAUGGAAUUCCUAGUGUAGCGGUGAAAUGCGUAGAGAUUAGGAAGAACACCAGUGGCGAAGGCGAUUCUCUGGACUGUAACUGACGCUGAGGCUCGAAAGCGUGGGGAGCAAACAGGAUUAGAUACCCCCGUAGUCCCU